UUACGAUAAAGGCAAACUCAUCGAAAGGUGGGGACGCAAAGCCACAGAUCUAAAGCCUUCAGUCCCGCUGACAGGCAAUGACCGCUGGGUUACCGAA
rnacentral:ncRNA from 1 species